AGCCGACUAAAGUGUAAGUUGCUCUGGAUAAGAGCGUCUGCUAAAUGACUCCAA
rfam:Salmo salar isolate Sally breed double haploid chromosome ssa12, whole genome shotgun sequence.